AUGUAAUUAUAUUUAAUUACAAGUGUGCUCCUGGUGGUCUUUAACUGAAGGGCACUGACUGGGUCACCGGUGAAGUUCUCCGCAGGAACUGAGUCAGACCCCAUCUCAGGGCCCUGCACAAAAUAGGUGCCUGCUCUAAGGCGUGGACCCUCGCGACAGCCCUGGCCCGUCUUGACGGGCGACGGUUACUGUACUUGUCCCAACCGUACAGAUGAGAAAGCUGAGACUCAGGGCGAGCAACCCCGGUCCCAGCGGAGCGCCCGGCACGCGCCGACAAUUCAGCACCAGCAGCGGUGGCCACCACUGUGCGCGGAGAUGGCUGCGACGCGUGCGCAGAUCUCGAUCCCAAACUCCCUCCUGCCAGAAUCUGGACCCGAAUCCACGCAUUGCCCAUUUUCCUCUGCCGCUGGAGAGAAUCUCUGAGGUCCCCAGGACAGCCUGCCUGCACGGAAGAGAUGCCCCCUCAGUAUGGCCGCCCCCGGAGAGGAGCGAUUAAGUGCAGGCCUCCAUGUUGCUCUUGAGCCUGAGCGGCUUCAGGGAGCCAUGUUUGUUACUGGCGGGCGCCGGCCUCACUGAGCAUGUGCAGCCCUGGCCGAGCGGCCUCAAAGUUCUGACAUCACAGGGCGGUUCCUGAAGUGGACGUAAUUGUAAGAGCUAGUUAUUUUAGACAAUGGCUCUGGGAUCAGGGACUCUAAUCUGGAAAUAGGUAGUAGGAGAGGUCGGUGAUGCUGUCUCUGGGUCAGAGACCUGAGCUAUAUGAGGUUAGAGAGGGGCACUGGGCAGGCGAGUCUCUGGGGAGUGUGGUGAGAAUCCUUGUGUAAGAUGCUGGGAGGAGGUGGGGUCAGGGCUGGGGUCCGUGGGUCGACGGGUUGGGGGAUGGCUAGCGUCAGGGAUCAGUAGUAGAGAUUCUAUGUGCCCUGAUCGCCAGUGGAGGUUUUAAAUACAGAGUAUUCAUGAGUUUAGCAAUGUUAUUCGCCUCUCAUUAUUUAAAUAAUUUAAAGUUUUCCCCAAUAACUAGUGUCUUAGAAGUCAUGAAAAUUUCAGAAAAUGACACGUCUUCUGAGUUCGUGAUGGGAGUUGGGCAGCAGUCGCUUACGAGCACCUGGAGAGUCCUUGCCAGUUCUUUGGGGAUGGGGAGCUCUUAAGACUGCCCUGAGACCGCCCUUUGACCUCAUUGUGGUCCUUUCUAGAUUAAAUGCUGUUUUCCAUGACUGUCUCUGUUCUUCCCAUAGGCGAAUGGCAGGCAUCCAGAUCUCCAAGAACAGAGGAUUAGGAGAGACUCCACCACCUAUAUCCUCACAGUUAAUUAUCGAUUUGUGUCAGUUGCCCAUUUUCUCACUUCCUGUUUGUGUGUCAAGGAGUAUUAAUAAAUCUUUGCCUAUUUAAAGAUAUUAGCCUUUGAUUUUCAAGUAUUGCAUAUUUUGACAUGUAAAAAUUUGUUAGUUUUAUUUUUUCAACAGAUCUGACCUAUAUAGUUGGGCUUGAGGAAGCUUCCUCAUUCUACAUGUUACUAUGGAUUUUCUAAUAUUAACACAGAGUUGUAUUUUUUCCAUAUAACUUUCUAUUGAAUUUCUUUUUCCAUAUGAUAGGUGGUGAAGGUUUAGCCCAGUAAAGCAGAGAGGUUAAGAAGUUAGAAUGGGGGCUCUGGAUCCAGACCUGUGUAGAUCUGAGUCCUGGCUCUGGCACUUGAAAGCCGUGUGACCUUGGUUAAGAUACUUAGCCCCUCUCUGCUAAAUGGAGAAAUAAGGGCACCUACCCCAUAGGGUAGUUGUGUGAUUACACAAGUUAAUACACUUCAAUCACUAGCAAGAAAGUGAAUGUCAAGCUGUAUUUGUUCAGGCAGCCAUAUGGUAGCCCCACCUCAUUAGUAAACUGAGGUAUUGAAGUAUCUUCUUUUUCUUUCAGAAAAUAUUUGUCAAGCACCUUCUGUGUUCUAAGAACUGUUCUAGAGCUUUGCAUGCUAUGGAGGUCUAGAAAUUCACAUUAUGGUGGCAGGUGACAGACAAUACAAAGAGAUAAAGCAAUUUCAUAUAGUGAUAAGCUAGGGAGGAGUGCUAAAAGGAGCCAAGGUGUAGUGGUGACUGGAAGGUGACCAGAGAAACCGCUGUAGGGUUUCUAAGUGAUGAGAUCUGUGACAAAUCCCUGUGGUCAGCAGCGGGCAUUGGAUAUGUAACUUUAUUCUGUCCCAUUGAUCUUGUAGUCAACCCUGGUCUGUUCUGUAUUGUUUUAAUUACAUAAUCUUUGUAAUAAUCUUU
rnacentral:lncRNA from 1 species